UUACCAUGCAAGUCGAACGGCAGCGCGGGGCAACCUGGCGGCGAGUGGCGAACGGGUGAGUAAUACAUCGGAACGUGCCCUGUGAUGGGGGAUAACUACGCGAAAGCGUAGCUAAUACCGCAUACGACCUACGGGUGAAAGUGGGGGAUCGCAAGACCUCACGUCAUAGGAGCGGCCGAUGGCGGAUUAGCUAGUUGGUAAGGUAAAGGCUUACCAAGGCAACGAUCCGUAGCUGGUCUGAGAGGACGACCAGCCACACUGGGACUGAGACACGGCCCAGACUCCUACGGGAGGCAGCAGUGGGGAAUCUUGGACAAUGGGGGCAACCCUGAUCCAGCAAUGCCGCGUGUGGGAUGAAGGCCUUCGGGUUGUAAACCACUUUUGGCGGGGGCGAAAUAUCGAGUGCUAAUACCAUUCGGUGAUGACGGUACCCGCAGAAUAAGCACCGGCUAACUACGUGCCAGCAGCCCGGG
rnacentral:rRNA from 1 species